GGGGCAAUAGCUCAGUUGGGAGAGCGCUACGUUCGCAAUGUAGAGGUCGAGGGUCCGAUUCCCUUUUGCUCCA
rnacentral:tRNA from 1 species